UGCUGCUACUGCAUCUAUUGUACCAUUGGUAACUGUAACCAUCUUAGUUGUGAUUGGAUGCUGCUGGUGUAAAAGAAGAAAGCAAAGGAAGCAGAAAUGUGAUGUUGAUCAAGAAACUGUACCACUUACUGAUAGGGAAACAAAUGAACUCCAAAUCGUCGAAGUCAGGUCAGGCCUGUUCGGCAUAAUCUUAAAUUUCUGUAAGUACAACCCAUAUUAUUUUCAUAUAUACCAGUAUCUCUGUAAAC